UACGUAGGGUCCGAGCGUUGUCCGGAAUUAUUGGGCGUAAAGGGCUCGUAGGCGGUCCGUCACGUCGGGAGUGAAAACUCAGGGCUCAACCCUGAGCGUGCUUCCGAUACGGGCGGACUAGAGGUAUGCAGGGGAGAACGGAAUUCCUGGUGUAGCGGUGGAAUGCGCAGAUAUCAGGAGGAACACCGGUGGUGAAGGCGGUUCUCUGGGCAUUACCUGACGCUGAGGAGCGAAAGCAUGGGGAGCGAACAGG
rnacentral:rRNA from 1 species